rnacentral:ncRNA from 2 species
CAAGCCAGAAGAGGCGCGUCGCCCAGGUAGAGUGUCAGAGGAGCCGUUUCUCCGUUGACGGCACCCGAGGGGGAGCGACGCCGAGGUACGAUAAUGGCCGGCCAUUAUCGUAUCGACUACAGGGGCUGAAUCCCCUGGGUUGUCACCAGGGGAUCGCCACAGGGCGAUCGACAAGGUGGGGCGCUUCUGGGUGU